GCCGCGAGCCGAUACAGUCUACUACUACUACUGGUCUAUGUACAUUUUUAACUCGCGAUUUUAUUGCAAAUAAUUUAACCGUUAAUAAACUAUUGUGCUUUUAAAAUAACCUUUAAAGUCAGUGUAUACCCCAGAUCGGGGUUCAAGUACCUGACUACCUCCAGUGCACCUACCGUAGUGCACCUACCCUAAGUGCACCUACCUACGCACCUGUCUACCUACGCGCCUGUCUACCUACGUGCCUGUGUCUACCUACGUGCCUGUGUCUACCUACGUGCCUGUGUCUACCUACGUGCCGCGCCUAUCUACGUGUCCUGCAUCUACCUACGCGUCCGGCAUCUACUAGCGCGCUGCACACCUACCCCGCCUGACCGCUGCCGAGCUGCCUGACUAUACAGGGUAGUAGUGUUCUAUAGCGGGCCAGAACUUAACGCGCGCUCGAUUAUUCUAAACCCACUCCCGGCUCUGCCGAUCUUUUGUAGAAUAUACUUAUAUACUAAUUUUCUAAAUUACUCUUUUUAUUUUUCUACCUACUAGGGUACCUACCACUAAACCUAAACGUGACAGUGGCGCCCAAUAAUGGUAGGAUAUAUCGAGCCGUGUUUAGUUCUUGUUUGCUAAGCAUUUUGUAGUUGUCCUGGUGUUGGUUGUCUGUCAGUUGUGUUGAAUUUGAUCACAGCCUACCAAAUGUGAAUCUACCCACAUCUUCUUAAUAAUUAUUUUUUUCUCUAAUAUUUAAAUUCAACCGUCCAUUUUUUUACUUGACCUACCGUCAAUAUUUUUCUACCCCCCAAUUUUUAUUUUUACAUUUACCUUCAAAAUUAACAUACCUUAAAUAUAUUUUCACAUAUGGUUGACUGACCACAAACGUGCUGAUUUUGCAUCCGAAUUGUUUUGUCUUUAUUAUUUUUGUCUUUAUUUUGCAACACACUCCUAACUGCGGUUUUAAUUUUCUAUAAUGUCUUACCCUAUUAAGUUUUUAUCGCUACAAAAAGCUGAACUAGACUAUGAAGUUACUGUUCGUGAUGGUACUGGGGGAGAUUCGG